AAUCAACGCUGGCGGCGUGCCUAACACAUGCAAGUCGAGCGCGAAAGGGGGAGCAAUCCCCCGAGUAGAGCGGCGAACGGGUGAGUAACGCGUGGGUAAUCUACCUUCGAGUGGGGAACAACAGCUGGAAACAGCUGCUAAUACCGGAUAUGACUGACGGCGUCAUCGUCGUUGGUGGAAAGCCCCGACGGUCAAGGAUGGGCUCGCGGCCUAUCAGCUUGUUGGUGAGGUAACGGCUCACCAAGGCUUCGACGGGUAGCCGGCCUGAGAGGGCGACCGGCCACACUGGGACUGAGAUACGGCCCAGACUCCUACGGGAGGCAGCAGUGGGGAAUCUUGCGCAAUGCGCGAAAGCGUGACGCAGCAACGCCGCGUGGGGGAAGACGGCCUUCGGGUUGUAAACCGCUUUCAGUAGGGACGAAGGUAACCUGACGGUACCUACAGAAGAAGGACCGGCCAACUACGUGC
rnacentral:rRNA from 1 species